UACGGAAGGCAGCAGUGGGGAAUAUUGCACAAUGGGCGAAAGCCUGAUGCAGCUAUGCCGCGUGUAUGAAGAAGGCCUUAGGGUUGUAAAGUACUUUCAUCGGGGAGGAAAAACAAAACUAAUAAUUUUAUUUCUUGACGUUACCCGAAAAAGAAGCACCGGCUAACUCCGUGCCAGCAGCCGCGGUAAUACGGAGGGUGCUAGCGUUAAUCAGAAUUACUGGGCGUAAAGAGCACGUAGGUGGUUUUUUUAAGUCAGAUGUGAAAUCCCUGGGCUUAACCUAGGAACUGCAUUUUGAAACUGAAAUACUAGAGUAUCGUAGAGGGAGGUAGAAUUCUAGGUGUAGCGGUGAAAUGCGUAGAUAUCUGGAGGAAUACCUGUGGCGAAAGCGGCCUCCUAAACGAAUACUGACACUGAGGGUGCGAAAGCGUGGGGAGCAAACAGGGAUUAAUACC
rnacentral:rRNA from 1 species